AAUACCGCGUGUGUGAAGAACGCUUAGGUUUGUAAAGCACUUUCAAUUGGAAGGAAAAACUCAUGGCCAAUACCCGUGAGCUUGACAUUACCUUUAGAAGAAGCACCGGCUAACUCCGUGCCAGCAGCCGCGGUAAUACGGAGGGUGCAAGCGUUAAUCGGAAUUACUGGGCGUAAAGCGUGCGUAGGCGGCUCGCUAAGUCAGAUGUGAAAGCCCCGGGCUCAACCUGGGAACGGCAUUUGAAACUGGCAAGCUAGAGUUUAGGAGAGGAGAGUGGAAUUUCAGGUGUAGCGGUGAAAUGCGUAGAGAUCUGAAGGAACACCAGUGGCGAAGGCGACUCUCUGGCCUAAAACUGACGCUGAGGUACGAAAGCGUGGGUAGCAAACAGGAUUAGAUACCCUGGUAGUCCACGCCGUAAACGAUGUCAACUAGCCGUUGGCUCUCUUAGAGAGUUAGUGGCGCAGCUAACGCAUUAAGUUGACCGCCUGG
rnacentral:rRNA from 1 species